rnacentral:rRNA from 1 species
UACAGGGGGUGCAAACGUUGUUCGGAAUUAUUGGGCGUAAAGCGCGCGUAGGCGGCUAUUUAAGUCGGAUGUGAAAGCCCUUGGCUCAACUGAGGAAGUGCACCCGAAACUGAGUGGCUUGAGUACUAAAGAGGGUCGCGGAAUUCCCGGUGUAGAGGUGAAAUUCGUAGAUAUCGGGAGGAACACCGGUGGCGAAGGCGGCGACCUGGGUAGAUACUGACGCUGAGGUGCGAAAGCGUGGGGAGCAAACAGG